UGAGGAAUAUUGGUCAAUGGUCGCUAGACUGAACCAGCCAAGCAGCGUGCGGGAUGAAGGCCCUCCGGGUCGUAAACCGCUUUUAGACGGGGAUAAAAGGGCGUACGUGUACGCCGUAUUGCAUGUACCGUCAGAAAAACGGACCGGCUAAUUCCGUGCCAGCAGCCGCGGUAAUACGGAAGGUCCGGGCGUUAUCCGGAUUUAUUGGGUUUAAAGGGAGCGUAGGCGGACUUUCAAGUCAGUGGUAAAAUCGUGUGGCUCAACCAUACCUCGCCAUUGAAACUGGAAGUCUGGAGUGCACACAGGGGUGCCGGAAUUCAUGGUGUAGCGGUGAAAUGCUUAGAUAUCAUGAAGAACUCCGAUCGCGAAGGCAAGUGCCCGGGGUGCAACUGACGCUGAGGCUCGAAGGUGCGGGUAUCGAACAGGAUUAGAUACC
rnacentral:rRNA from 1 species